rnacentral:rRNA from 1 species
GAGUUUGAUCCUGGCUCAGAGUGAACGCUGGCGGCAGGCCUAACACAUGCAAGUCGAACGGCAGCACAGGAGAGCUUGCUCUCUGGGUGGCGAGUGGCGGACGGGUGAGGAAUACAUCGGAAUCUACCUUGUCGUGGGGGAUAACGUAGGGAAACUUACGCUAAUACCGCAUACGACCUACGGGUGAAAGCGGCGGACCGCAAGGCGUCGCGCGAUUGGAUGAGCCGAUGUCCGAUUAGCUAGUUGGCGGGGUAAAGGCCCACCAAGGCGACGAUCGGUAGCUGGUCUGAGAGGAUGAUCAGCCACACUGGAACUGAGACACGGUCCAGACUCCUACGGGAGGCAGCAGUGGGGAAUAUUGGACAAUGGGCGCAAGCCUGAUCCAGCCAUGCCGCGUGUGUGAAGAAGGCCUUCGGGUUGU